AUUAUAAUCUGACCCACCUGUGUCUGUUUAAUGAGUUGAUGGAGCUCCGUCAGCAGUUCGGCUAUUUUGGUGUCGGCGGACAUGUUGGUACCUGCGGAAAGAGGGGGAACAAGGAGAAACUUGGACAGAGACUUGGCUCUCAUUCCCUCAAAUAUUUACAGUACAGAAGGACAUGUGACCAAAGCUGGAAGCCACGAGUUAUAGAGCAGGAGUAGGAGGAGAAACAAAAAUAUUUCUAGAAAACAUCAAGGACCAGUCAGGAAGAAACUUAAAAAACAACAAAAAAACACUGAAAUUUUUUCCAAAUUAGAAUGUUU